rnacentral:snRNA from 1 species
CGAUGCAGCGGCAAAGACAGCACGCACCAAUCUUUCGCCUUUUACUAAAGAUUGCCGUGUCUUUGCCGCAUUCCAAUGCAUCUUAUAUAUAUUUUUGGAAGGCGUCUCGGCGCCA